rnacentral:rRNA from 1 species
AUUGAACGCUUUUGGCAUGCCUUACACAUGCAAGUCGAACGGUAACGGGUCCUUCGGGAUGCCGACGAGUGGCGAACGGGUGAGUAAUAUAUCGGAACGUGCCCAGUAGUGGGGGAUAACUGCUCGAAAGAGCAGCUAAUACCGCAUACGACCUGAGGGUGAAAGGGGGGGAUCGCAAGACCUCUCGCUAUUGGAGCGGCCGAUAUCAGAUUAGCUAGUUGGUGGGGUAAAGGCCUACCAAGGCAACGAUCUGUAGUUGGUCUGAGAGGACGACCAGCCACACUGGGACUGAGACACGGCCCAGACUCCUACGGGAGGCAGCAGUGGGGAAUUUUGGACAAUGGGCGCAAGCCUGAUCCAGCAAUGCCGCGUGCAGGAAGAAGGCCUUCGGGUUGUAAACUGCUUUUGUCAGGGAAGAAAUCUUCUGGGCUAAUACCCCGGGAGGAUGACGGUACCUGAAGAAUAAGCACCGGCUAACUACGUGCCAGCAGCCGCGGUAAUACGUAGGGUGCGAGCGUUAAUCGGAAUUACUGGGCGUAAAGCGUGCGCAGGCGGCUUUGCAAGACAGAUGUGAAAUCCCCGGGCUCAACCUGGGAACUGCAUUUGUGACUGCAAGGCUAGAGUACGGCAGAGGGGGAUGGAAUUCCGCGUGUAGCAGUGAAAUGCGUAGAUAUGCGGAGGAACACCAAUGGCGAAGGCAAUCCCCUGGGCCUGUACUGACGCUCAUGCACGAAAGCGUGGGGAGCAAACAGGAUUGGAUACCCUGGUAGUCCACGCCCUAAACGAUGUCAACUGGUUGUUGGACGGCUUGCUGUUCAGUAACGAAGCUAACGCGUGAAGUUGACCGCCUGGGGAGUACGGCCGCAAGGUUGAAACUCAAAGGAAUUGACAGGGACCCGCACAAGCGGUGGAUGAUGUGGUUUAAUUCGAUGCAACGCGAAAAACCCUACCUACCCUUGACAUGUCAAGAAUUCUGCAGAGAUGUGGAAGUGCUCGAAAGAGAACUUGAACACAGGUGCUGCAUGGCCGUCGUCAGCUCGUGUCGUGAGAUGUUGGGUUAAGUCCCGCAACGAGCGCAACCCUUGUCAUUAGUUGCUACGCAAGAGCACUCUAAUGAGACUGCCGGUGACAAACCGGAGGAAGGUGGGGAUGACGUCAGGUCCUCAUGGCCCUUAUGGGUAGGGCUACACACGUCAUACAAUGGCCGGUACAGAGGGCUGCCAACCCGCGAGGGGGAGCCAAUCCCAGAAAACCGAUCGUAGUCCGGAUCGUAGUCUGCAACUCGACUGCGUGAAGUCGGAAUCGCUAGUAAUCGCGGAUCAGCUUGCCGCGGCGAAUACGUUCCCGGGUCU